GCUAGUUUGGCCGAGUGGUUAAGGCGAUGCCCUGCUAAGGCAUUGGGAUUUUCCUUCGCAGGUUCGAAUCCUGUAGCUGGCG
rnacentral:tRNA from 1 species